rnacentral:rRNA from 1 species
GAUGAACGCUGGCGGCGUGCCUAAUACAUGCAAGUCGAGCGAAUGGAUUAAGAGCUUGCUCUUAUGAAGUUAGCGGCGGACGGGUGAGUAACACGUGGGUAACCUGCCCAUAAGACUGGGAUAACUCCGGGAAACCGGGGCUAAUACCGGAUAACAUUUUGAACCGCAUGGUUCGAAAUUGAAAGGCGGCUUCGGCUGUCACUUAUGGAUGGACCCGCGUCGCAUUAGCUAGUUGGUGAGGUAACGGGUAACCAAGGCGACGAUGCGUAGCCGACCUGAGAGGGUGGUCAGACACGCUGGGACUGAGACACGGCCCAGACUCCUACGGGAGGCAGCAGUAGGGAAUCUUCCGCAAUUGACGAAAGUCUGACGGAGCAACGCCGCGUGAGUGAUGAAGGCUUUCGGGUCGUAAAACUCUGUUGUUAGGGAAGAACAAGUGCUAGUUGAAUAAGCUGGCACCUUGACGGUACCUAACCAGAAAGCCACGGCUAACUACGUGCCAGCAGCCGCAGUAA